UGUUGAAGCCUUCGGCUGUUUUAAGCCAGUAUUGUUGUGAACAAGCGCGUCCUCAUUUUUUUUUCCAAAACAGCUUUUUAAGAAGAUGAAUCAGUGCAAUCAAACACAGAAUAUUUAACAAGCAACAGAAAGGAUUUUUAUACCAGGAGAACAAGGAAGCGUAUGUAUGUUCUGCAAGUCUCAAUGCUGAAGAUAAUAUAUCUGCCAGGAUUAAACCACCUUAUUAAAAGGAGAAACUAUGCAUCUGAAAAGAAAAACACGAAGAGGAGACCCCAGUGCCAUUACUUUGGAGUGCUGAGAGGUGGAGAAUGAAAAAGCCAUUGGUUUCAGUUUUACUACCACAAUGGCCUUUUAUGAGAGGGAUUAGAUACGCCUAGAACUGGUGCAGCAUUCAUCGCUGCCCUGGACAACACUGGAAAAAAAGACAAUAAAAAUCAGUUUGUCAUAAGGUUAAAUCA
rnacentral:lncRNA from 1 species